rnacentral:rRNA from 1 species
UACGGGGGGGGCAAGCGUUGUUCGGAAUUACUGGGCGUAAAGGGCGCGUAGGCGGUUCGCUAAGUCGGAUGUGAAAACUCUGGGCUCAACCCAGAGCCUGCAUCCGAAACUGGCGGGCUAGAGUUCUGGAGGGGGUAGCGGAAUUCCUGGUGUAGCGGUGAAAUGCGUAGAUAUCAGGAAGAACACCCGUGGCGAAGGCGGCUCUCUGGGACGGUACUGACGCUGAGACGCGAAAGCGUGGGGAGCGAACAGG